CCAAGGUAGUCUUUCUAGGGGUUUUCAGAGGCUGCCCAGUCCUGUGACCUCCAGCUCACGCUACAAAGGGCAGAGAGGGCGCAGCUAGCGUCAGAAGGACAGGCUGCCUGCUCCCGCCAGGCGGCCUGCCCUUCAUGUUCUUGGACUUCAGCCCAGGAUCCCUGCAGGUUCUGACAUCAAGUUGGACCAUCCUUUUGAAUGAGGCGGGUUCAAGGUUGAAGCUGCCCAUCUUCUGGGGUCCCAGCAUUGUGAACACUGCGUGCCAGGAGAAGGGGAAGCAGGACGCAGAAUUUCAGCAAAAACCAGCAGGAUACUGGGGCAGGUAGGAGGGUGUCCCUGGGGGUGCAGGGUGGGGGCCAUUCUCCCUGUUGCCUGGCUCAGGCUCAGACACGUGGCCCAGCGGGUGACCACGGAAUGGACAGGCUUUACCCUCCCCGCGCCUCGAUCCACGCGCGCCCAGGUCAGUGAUGUGGGCUGUGGCCAGCGCCGCGCCGUUGCUCCCAGGUCGGCAACGUUAACAGGGGAAGGGAACCCGCGGGAGCGCGCACAGCCGACUGACCAGCGACCGCACCGCCAGCUGCGAAUUCCUCCGGCCUUCCAUCAGCGCGGGCCCGACGACGGGCUUCCUCGCCGCGGUGAGGUCAGCGCCUCGCUCCCCCUCCCACCCCUCCUCCGGGCUGGCCCCGCGCCGGGGAUCCCGGCCCCCAAUAUCCGCUCACUGCGCCUCGAGCCCCCGGCUGAACCGUCCCCCAGCCUGUCCCUCCCCCAGCCCCGGGUCCACGCCCUGUCCAGGUCCCCGCGGCAGGGCCCUCCCCACCCGGAUGCCCCAGUCUGGUCCAGGCCUGCGCCUUGCAGCCCCCUCUCGGACCUUGCACUUGAGGCCCAGUCCGGUGCGGGAGCCCCAGAUGGGGCGGCCCCUCCCGCAGUCCGCCGCCCUCUGCCGGCCCCGCGGAGCCCUAUUUCGGGACCUGGCGCUGCGGGCCAGGCCAGGGCAGCCCUGCCCGGAAGAGAGGCUAUUCUGGGCCGGGCCGCGGAGCAGCUGCGACCCCAGGACUUCCCGGCAGGGUGCGUGCCCGGGAUAGAGGGCACGUUGGGGCAGGGCUCCCCUCCCUCCCCAGCACCCCACCUUCUUCCCAGGCCGCGCCCCGUUCCCUCCCCUUUUUGGCCGGGCCCUGGUCCUUCCCUAGUCCGGGAAGCAAGGGAAGCGACAUUCUCUGGUGCAGCGCCUGUCCGCCCUUGCUCCCUGCCUGUGUCCGAGGGACGCGGCUUCUGUGCCCACUGUCUCCUACCCGCGUGUCCCAUUUACCUGGACUUCCUAACUGUGACUCUCCUGUCCCCAUGGGUGACCCUCCACCCUAAUUCAGUGUUGAACCCCAUAUCCCAGGUGGACAUGGGUGUCUCCAUAAUGAUCAUUAAGUGAAAGUUGUCACAGGGUCACCUUUAGGGCGCCAAAUCCCAGCCCUUUAGGGGAUCUCAUUACCCCAUGUUCUGCAAAGGUCUGAUCAAAGGUUUCAGCUGCCCCUUGCGGGGAGUGACCACUUCUCUAGGUGGCCCCAGCUCUCUGGGCUCUCUGGGACACUGUCCUCCAUCUGUGAAGCAGGAUGCAGGUAAGUGCAGCGAGCCCCCCCCAGAAAGUGCAAGGAGACAGAUCUGUGCCCCACCAUCAGAAUGCAAGUUACUGCCGGGAUCUAAACCAAAUCACUCUCCCUGGAGCCCAGGAUUUCCCAAAAGAGCUCGGAGGAGCAAAGCAAAGGCCCCUCUCUGCCCAUGGGUGGCCAGCUGUUCUGUAGCGUUCAUCUUCUCUCGGAGGGAUAGCAGGACCCAUCAGCUGGAUCUCAUUAAAAUGCAGAGGCAUCGUCUGGUCUGGGGCUGCCUUUGUGGCCUUGAUCUUGCUGGGCCCACACAGAGGAGCUGGAGGAAGGUUCCCCACCCCCACCCCUCAGUCCUGGGGCGGCUCUGCUGUUUGCUCUUCCAGGGAGGAAAUGGAGCAGAGAGGAAGAGGCUGGGAAAGUGCAGAGGUCAGUGCUCCAGCUGACUGGCCCCGGGACAGCCAGGGCACCCCUCGUGGGCCAGCGGGCCCACGCAGUUUAUAGCCUUCCUUUCCCUUCUAUUUCUUUUCAAUUAUUGAACUAAUACUUGUGAGCUAUGGAGCGUACGUACACUAAAUUAGUGUUACCUUCAAAGAAAAUAAUUUUUUUCUUUUUCUUUUCUUUCUUUUUUUUUUUUUUUUGGUGCCAGGGAUUGAACUCAUGACCUAGGGCUUGCCAGACAGGCGCUUAAACCACCGAGCUAAAUCCCCUGCCCCAAGAAAAUAAAUUCUAUACAAAUUAAAAAUGAAAGUUUUUUUUUUUUGUAGUAUUGGGAAUUGAACUCAAAGCUUUUGUGCUGAGUUACUUUUUUUUUUUUUUUUUUUAAUUGGUUUGAAACAAA
rnacentral:lncRNA from 1 species